UAUUUCUGAAUGUACCCUUCCUAUUAGAUGCCAUAUGGAUUGGAGGGAUGAGUUUUUUGGAAGUAUGGGGGGCAUUUUGUUUUCUUGCAGCUGGCCGAGCUGGUUUGCUCAAGGGUUGCAAGCCAGCAAGUUUAAAUAGCUGCUAAAGUAGUUAGACAGGGCACAAUACCAGCUCCUGCCUGCUCAGAUCUGCAUGGUGCAGGAUAGAUUUUGCCCUACAUUUUAUCUUCUUAGCUACCUCGUGCUUCGAUUGUUCACUUCCAAUUUAAGCCGGGGGAUUGAUAGCUUGCUCCGCCUGGUCCGUGAAUGUGACUGGGUUACUAGUUAGUUUAAAUAAGCUCCAAACAUGUAUGUGGUCAAUUAUUGGGACCAAUAGAUGAAGAUGGGCUGUUGUUGUUGAUGUUGUUAUUUGUUGCGCUAAACUGUUAGCUUUUUUAUCAGCAUUUUUUCUAUCCGCA